rnacentral:ncRNA from 1 species
CACCUGGUUGAUCCUGCCAGUAGUCAUAUGCUUGUCUCAAAGAUUAAGCCAUGCAUGUCUAAGUAUAAGCUUUAAACGGCGAAACUGCGAAUGGCUCAUUAAAACAGUUAUAGUUUAUUUGGUGAUCGAUUACUAUUUGGAUAACCGUAGUAAUUCUAGAGCUAAUACAUGCGUCAAGGCCCGACUUCGGAAGGGCUGCGUUUAUUAGAUACAGAACCAACCUAGGCUCCGCCUAGUCCUUGUUGGUGAUUCAUAAUAACCCGGCGAAUCGCACGGCUUGUCCGGCGAUGGACCAUUCAAGUUUCUGACCUAUCAGCUAUGGACGGUAGGGUAUUGGCCUACCGUGGCGUUGACGGGUAACGGGGAAUUAGGGUUCGAUUCCGGAGAGGGAGCCUGAGAAACGGCUACCACAUCUAAGGAAGGCAGCAGGCGCGCAAAUUACCCAAUCCUGAUACAGGGAGGUAGUGACAAGAAAUAACAAUACAGGGCAAUUCUGUCUUGUAAUUGGAAUGAGUAGAUUUUAAAUCUCUUUACGAGUAUCAAUUGGAGGGCAAGUCUGGUGCCAGCAGCCGCGGUAAUUCCAGCUCCAAUAGCGUAUAUUAAAGUUGUUGCGGUUAAAAAGCUCGUAGUUGGAUUUCUGCCUUGGGGCGAACGAUCACCUUUCCCUACGGGAUGGUCGGUAUCAGGUUUGACCUUGGCUUUUUCUUGGGAU